AGCAUAGACAUACCUUAUUGCAUAUUCUGUAUCCUGAUCAAAUCACAGCUGAAGACACACUUUACUGAGCUGCCUUUGAGGGUGGGUGGAGUUUGUUUCCCCUGUUUUUAAACCCCUGAUUCCCACAACUGAAGUGCAAAAUGGCAGAGGGAAACCAUGCAAUAUAUGCUGGGGCAUUAAUGCCAAUGGCCCCUGCUUCAGAGCAGAGGGUAUGGCCACUUCCAAAGGCUGUCCUGUGAAUUAGGGGAGGAGUCACUGCUCAGUGGUAGAGCAUGUGCAGCAGGCCUCAAGUCCAACCUUAGUACUUCCUGUCAAAGAUCAGGUAGUAGGAGCUGGGAAAGGCUAUUUGGGGCCCUGGAGAAUCGCACCCUGUCAGAAUAGGCACUUCUGAGCUAGAUGGGCCAUUGAUCCAACUAGAUAUAAGGGUGCUUCAUAUUUUCAUAUAAAUGCUCAGACUGAAAAUGUGUUACUACUUAAAGUACGCCGAAAUGGUUGGCAGCAGCAUCAGAACUGUCAAUCAUUUUUUGAAGCAAGCAUUUUAGAUGGUGAGCCCUUUGGGGACAGGGAUCCAUCUUAUUUUUAUUUAUUAUUUCUCUGUGUAAACCACCCUGAGCCAUUUUUGGAAGGGCAGUAUAGAAAUCGGAUGAAUGAAUUGAAUGAAUGAAUGAAUCCCAAGAAACCGCCCUCCAGGUGGGAUUCCUGAGGGAGGGGCUUUAGAAUGGAGCAGAGUGGCAGUUAAACUGUCUAAGUAGUAGCUCUCAGAUUCAGAUAGGGCUUGGAUGAGCCCGUGACAAGGACGGUUGAGGCUAGGAUCUCUAGUGAGGGUCAGUGGGAGGCCCUGGACUAGAACUACAAAUCCCAGCAUUCCUAGUGCGAACAUGCGGCACACUCUGCACUUCUUCUGAGGCGGUCUACUUUGUCCAGGCCUCUGCCUUCCUCCUGCUUCAAGGUGACAGCGCCCCAGAACUGCAGCAGCAGCGACUCUAGAGGAAAAUCUUACUGAGUCCAGGGUGGCAUCGGCUAUGAAAACCUGAGCCUUCUGGACCUUAACCAGCUGUUGCCUUAGCUUGACCAGGUAAGAUGGGGUAUUAUUAAGGAGAUCAUCCAACCAUAAGAGGGAGGCUCUCGCAGCCAUAGAAGCUGCGGUGGCCGCUCUGGUAGAUAAGGAAGAGUUGUCAUGUGUUCUCUUAAAAGCAAUCUCAGCCUUUUUAUCAGCUGGAUCCUUUAGAGUCACCUCCCCAUCCCGGGGUACCAAAGAAUUGGAGACUAGCUGGGCUAUGGGGGCAUUCGUGCAAGGUGUCUUGAGGAGGUCAGAUGGAGCCUGCUGGUAAGAAAAAAAAUUAGUAAUUGACAUAGGCUUUCAAUUGGCCGCUAGAAGGCACCAUUCCUGUUUAACCACCUACUCGAAUAAACUAGGCAGGAGCAGGAGAAUGUCCUUGGACCUGGCGGAGACCACCUCACCCUUAUCAGCAGUGACAACCUCUGAGGGUGUGCUCUGAAACAGCCCUAUGGUUUUUAAAAUACGAGUCAUUAGGGGAUUAUAAUCCUCAGCCACAAAGGGCCUCUGAGAAACAGAGAGUGCCUCAUUGUCCUCCCCGCCAGACCAUUCUCCUUCCUCCCUGUCUAUAGGAUCCCCUUCCUCACUGUCCACAGGUUCGGUAUCCUGUGGAAGACCCCCUGGGUUAGAGAGGUCGACCUCUAUAUCAGAGUCCAAGACAACAGACCGUGAAAGGUUAACUGGCCUGGGGUUAAGAGGAGUGGGGUCCCCUGACUCGUGCUCUGAGGCCUCCGAGGAAUGCCGGGAGGGGAAAGAGCGUCAUUCUGGUCUCUGAACCUUCUUAGGUCUGAGGUGCUUUCUUUUUGCCUUAGCCUUUUUAGGAGGUGGGCUAGCCUCAGAGGAGGAGGAAGUGCUCCCAGAGGAGGAGGAGAUCCUCUUCUGCUUUUUGUAUUUUUUCUUGCCCUUUUUUGUAGGCUUCAAUUGGGAGACAGAAUCGAUAAUAGCAUAUUGAAACCAUGCUUGCCAUUCUGGAGGCACGGAUUGGGGAAUAGCUAUCUUGUGUUGCAGGGGCUGCAGCAACAGAAGCUCCCGAAGUAGCAGGUAGCCCCACGUUAAUAGUUACAGAGUCUGAAGGCUCUCCUGCGCUUCUGCCAGCAGGGGGCUCUAGCGACCGUACCUCUGAUAAGUGUAGACCAGGAAGGUCCAAAAUGGCCGCCAGCUCCCAAUUUUUGCGCCAUUUUCGCCUUCCCUAGGGCGCAUUCCCGCUCGUGCCUUAGCCCGAUCUCACGAAUUUCCAGGGAGGUGGGAGGCGGGUCGGGGCAGGGAACUCUGCAGAACUGCUGGGGAGCGGAGGCAGACCGUGCCUGUGUAGCCCGCUUGGCCGCCGCAGCGCGUGUCUCGCGGCCCGCAGGCGGGAGAACAGCGUGGGGGUCAGAAGCGAUCGGCGCGGGCGGCUCCAAGGCGGCCGUCGCCGUCGCUGGUAGCGCAGCCGUCGCUGAACGAGGAGCAGCAGAGGACCGAAGAACUGGCGCUGCUGCGGUCGUCGGCUGAGGGGAAGAGCGGUCUGAAAAGUAGAGCGCUGACCCAGGAGCUACCGGCGGUGAAGGCGGGAAUGCAAGCGGUGGUGGGCAGUCAAACUCACAGGCGGGCAGUAUAGCGGCCUCAGGGAGAGAUAGCCCUAAUGGCUUGAAGUGCCGGAACCAACGGUCAUUGGCGGGGGCCCCGGGGCACUUAAAAACUAUUCUCCUUCGCUCAAACUCCAUACAAGGGGAGCGGGGAAGGGGGGGGCAGAGACAACUAUAACAAAAGACUCUCUCUCACACUUUUUUUUUUUUUUAAACGAGGCGAGGAGGGAAAAGAAUGGAUGGCAGCAAACACGGGGGAGAAAAAACACUCACGAAGGAAGACAAACACUGAAGGAAGCGAGGAGCUGAAGGAAAACACGUCUGCCUGGAGCUGAGCGAGGACAGAAAGAACUGGGAGGGGUUAUCCUCCUAGCACCAAGGAGGCGUGGCCGAAAUGUCUUCAACCAAUCAAAUCUGUCCUGCCUUGGAGCUAGUGAGAAAGGAUAACCCAGAGGUGUCCCUGGCAACGAUCAACCGAGAAGAUUCUUUUACCCCAAAUACUAUGCAAGAAAAAUGUGUUUAAAAUUAACUCAGUGUUAUGUUACUUUUCAUAGCACAUUCAAUGGAAUAUACCUGAAUAAAACCAGUAAUGGGUC